GACGAACGCUGGCGGCGCGCCUAACACAUGCAAGUCGAACGGAGUCAAGAGGAGCUUGCUUUUCUUGACUUAGUGGCGAACGGGUGAGUAACGCGUGAGUAACCUGCCCUGGAGUGGGGGACAACAGUUGGAAACGACUGCUAAUACCGCAUAAGCCCACGGAUCUGCAUGGAUCUGCGGGAAAAGGAUUUAUUCGCUCUAGGAUGGACUCGCGUCCAAUUAGCUAGUUGGUGAGGUAACGGCCCACCAAGGCGACGAUUGGUAGCCGGACUGAGAGGUUGAACGGCCACAUUGGGACUGAGACACGGCCCAGACUCCUACGGGAGGCAGCAGUGGGGGAUAUUGCACAAUGGGGGAAACCCUGAUGCAGCGACGCCGCGUGGAGGAAGAAGGUUUUCGGAUUGUAAACUCCUGUCGUUAGGGACGAUA
rnacentral:rRNA from 1 species